GAUGAAGAACGUAGCGAAAUGCGAUAAGUAAUGUGAAUUGCAGAAUUCAGUGAAUCAUUGAAUCUUUGAACGCACAUUGCGCCCGCCAGUAUUCUGGCGGGCAUGCCUGUUCGAGCGUCAUUUCAACCCUCAAGACCCCUUCGGGGGACUUGGUGUUGGGGACCGGCACAGGGGCCUGCCUGCUUGUCUUGCAGCGCCCUCGCCGCCCCCGAAAUGAAUUGGCGGCCUCGUCGCGGCCUCCCCUGCGUAGUAGCACAAACCUCGCAACGGGAACGUGACGGCGGCCACUGCCGUAAAACAACCCAAUUUUAUUAGAGUUGACCUCGAAUCGGGUAGGAAUACCCGCUGAACUUAAGCAUAUCAAUAAGCGGAGGA
rnacentral:misc_RNA from 1 species